rnacentral:lncRNA from 10 species
CAGAUGAUCUCUGCAGUCCCUUCCAGAUGGAAACGAUAGCAACAAACAUCAUCUAUAGAACACAAUGAGCCCUGGACACUAAACUGGGCAUAUACUGGGCAUACACUGGUCCUUUCCUGUCCAGUCACAGUCUCCCCUUUUCCCUUCCAGGAAAAGCCCCAGAUCCUUCUGGCCUCCACCCAGCAAUCCUUCCCUAGAGAAGCCAGGAUUCAGUGGAAAUUCAGCAACGGGAUGGAAUUGCUGGGGGAAAUCAUCAUUUUUAACAAGCAAUUCAGGAAAUGCUGACUCAUGUUGACAUUUAAGGACCACACAAAUAGACAAACAAAUGAGCAGACUGGAACAGAAAAGUAAACUCUCCCAGAGUCACACGGCUACUCAGGAAGGAUAGCUUCAUAGUCUCUACUCUUCAUGAGACACUCUGAAAACCCACUGCGAAGGAAGCUGAGAUAUGAAUGACAGGUAGGAGCCAGCCCUGACAAGACCAGGCCAGGAGAGUAUUCCAAGAGAAAGAGAACAAGGAGAGAGGAUGGUGUAGCCAGAGCUGAUGGGCAAAGCCUAGAUUGGAGAGAGAGAUGGGAGAGGAAGCCCAGAUCACAUAAGGCUUUGGGAAGCCACUGAUGGGUGCUGAGCCAGGAAGUGGUGGAACCUGACCAGCAUCGUGGAAACAGCCCUCUGACUGGUGUGGG